rnacentral:rRNA from 1 species
ACUCCUCGAAUCAGGUAGGGAUACCCGCUGAACUUAAGCAUAUCAAUAAGCGGAGGAAAAGAAACCAACAGGGAUUGCCCCAGUAACGGCGAGUGAAGCGGCAGCAGCUCAAAUUUGAAAUCUGGGGUCCCCGACCUCCGAGUUGUAAUUUGGAGAGGCAUCUUCGGGGGGGAGCGCCGGCCCAUGUUCCUUGGGACAGGACGUCACAGAGGGUGAGAAUCCCGUGCCUGGCCGGCUGCCUCCUCCCGGGUGGAGGGCCUUCGACGAGUCGAGUUGUUUGGGAAUGCAGCUCCAAGUGGGUGGUAAAUUUCAUCUAAAGCUAAAUACCGGCGGGAGACCGAUAGCGCACAAGUAGAGUGAUCGAAAGAUGAAAAGCACUUUUGAAAAUAGAGUCAAAAAGUACGUGAAAAUUGUGAAAAGGGAAGCGCUUGAGACCAGACUCGGGCCUGGGCAAACAUCGCGCCCCUCGGGGCCGUGCAAUUGCCCGGGCCUGGGCCAGCAUCAGUUGGCGUGGCGGGACAAAGGCGCGGGGAAUGUGGCUCCCCUCGGGGAGUGUUAUUAGGCCCGCGCUCAAUGCCGCCGACGCCGACUGAGGACCGCGCCUCGGCUAGGAUGCUGGCUUAAUGGCCUUCAGCGACCCGUCUUGAUACAACGGGACCAA